AGAACCAAACAUAAUUUAUUAUUUGAAUUUAAAAACUAUACAACUUAAAUUUUAAAACUACAACUUAAAUUCAUUAAAAAAAAAAAAUUGAAUCCAACGGUAACUAGCCGUUGUAUUUGAAAUUUUGGCCUACCAUUCCUGUUGGAUAUAACCGACAGGAAUAAGUACAAUGCUUUCGAAUAUAACUGACAUGAAUAAUGAAAAUUAUGGCCCAGCACGGGGCUGACUGCUUUGGGCCAGCCGGUUGAUCCUUUGGUCCUUUUUUGUCCGGUGGGGCCCACGAGCCAUUUGGCCUAGCCCUCGGUUGGAGACAAUUUUCGAGCUAUUUUCGGCCAUUUGGCCUCUGGACCAUUCGGUUGGAGAUGGUCUUACCUUCUUCACACAUUUCUUCUCCCUAACCUCAUAUCUAUUCCUUGUCAAGUCAGAUAGCCACAUCCCUGGAAAACAAUAUUGCCAACAAAUAAAUAUAUUUAAAUUAAAAAAUUUUGUUUUUAAUUAAACCCAAAAAUUAAAAUUAAAAUUGAAGAACAAUCACCACAAAGGUCGACCCAAAAAUUAUGUAAUGUUUACUAUUUUAUCUAUUUAUUUGUCAUAUUAAAUUUUGUACGCAUCAAUCAAAUAAAAGAAAUUUUGGAGUCAUUAGGCGUUACAAACAAAUCAAAAUUUGAGAACUAGUCAUGCUCAUGCAUUUAUUUAAUACAUUUACUCUUUAACAAAAUUGCACAGAGAUUUGGAAUUAAAAGAGAAAGUUUUUAUUUAAAAUGGUCCAUGAGAUUAAUAUAACUCAUCACCUUCAUCCCUGAUAUUUAAAAUCGAUAAAAAUGGUUCUCAUGUUAUUCACCAUUCCAUGAGAAAUCUUUGUUAAAUUAAGAGUAAUUUUGUUAAAUGAACCCCUCAUCUUGAAUUGGCGAUUUCUUCAAUAUAAAAUUAAAAUUGAGUAAAUGCUAUCAUUUGAUAUUACUUGGGGUGAUGAUAAUUAUGUUAGUAAAAUAACAACAAUGAUGACAAAUACUAAUGAUACAAGCACCUGAAGUUAGAGAAAAUUUUCAUUGUGAUCGGAAUAUGGGUGAUAUACUAUAUGUUUUUAUAUAAACGGUGAAAAUAUUUUUUUUUAGUUAUUAAUUUUUUUAACACAAAUAUUUUACCAUUUAUAUAAUGACACGUGAUGUAUCAUUCUGUAUUCCGAUCACACAGAAACAUCUAUCAUGAAGUUAUUAUUAUUAUUUUUUUGGUAAAUCUCUCCUGAAGUUAAGGUGCAUGAUUUUGGUUACUUUUGAUGUGUCUUAUUCAACAUGGAAUUGUACAGAGUGUAGGGUAGAUAGUCUCUGUGAUUUUCCGGAAUGCCCAAAAAUUUUGGAAAUUGAUAACAUGACGGGAUUUAAGGAAUACCCAUAGCCUCUAAUUUUUCCCAUUUGUUGUCAAAGCGUAUUACUGCGACGAUAUGAGUCCUAAUAUGGUCAAAUGGGUAUGCAAAUUUCAUAUUUUUCGAUAUGAGUUUUAAUAUGGUCAAAGAGUACUACUACGACGAUAUGAGUCUUAAUACUACUAUGGUUGUAUUAGUUUCGAUGGCUUAAUUGGCUUAUUCUGCAUUUUCAUGUCUAAUUAGUUACCAAUGUUUUUACUUUCCCUGUGUUUUGUAAAUCUUUUGUAAUGAAUUAUUAUUAUUUUUUAUUUCACAGUUUGGCGGGUCAUAAAAGUUAUGUUUUGAAGAAUUUAUUGUCAAGAUGAUUGGUUAUAUGUUGUUUGCACAUUUCCAUAUUUCAUCAAAUUAGUAGAAGAUUAAAAUUAUGUCUGUAAUACUAUGAAUAUAAUUUCAUUCGUUGUAUUAUGAUUGAGUUUGUAAUUGGAAAAUCUUGCAGCUUAGGCUUCCGAUUGUAAGUUUCAUAAAUAUGGGAUUGUGUAAAUACAUAAUGUUUUGUAUAUCGGAUUUUUUUAUUGAACAUGACAAAUUUAUGUUUGAACAAUAUGGUAGAGAAGACUACAUAGACAAGAAAGAAGAUAAGGCACCUAAUGUGAGAAUAGUGAACACCAUGUACAUACGCUCAAGUAUUAUCAUUUGUACGUAAAUAGUAUUGUACAUAAAAAAUUUAUACAAUUUUCAAUCAUGCAACAUCGUGCGUACACUCUUUGCUAGUCACUAUAGUCUAAAGUUGAGGAGGAAAUUGACACCAUACAUAAGCUACAGUAAAAAUACUUUGAUUUUGAUUUAUUUACCAAGUUGCCAUUCUACCCAAAUUUUUGCUUUGUUACGGAUUUGCAGGCCAAAAUUUUGCUUUGUGAUGGAUUUGCCAGGUUCGGCUUUCGCAUUCAAAGGGCCAGACAGAGGCCUAGAGGGCUGGACCAAAACGGCGCAGUAUUGAAACAAGUAAAAUUACUCUUGCCCGUUUAGAUUUGAGACGGGACGGGCAAGGGUGAAGAUUAUGGGGGUAGUUUUGUCAUUGCACGUUUGGAGUUUGGGGGGCAUGUUGUCUGCUUCGUUGGAUGGGAUUGAGCCAUUGAGGGAGUGUUGUUGCAGACGAGAGAGGAAGAUAGAGGGAGAGGGAGAGAUAUGCUGAGUUUAAUUUUGGUCUGUUCGUUUUCUUUUUGCUGUUUUGGAUUCAAUUCGAAUCAAAUAAUGUAGUUUAUCUUGAUAUCAAUUCUCUCUACAACAAUAAUUAGGGGUUUUUGUUUAAAUUAUCAAUGAUUUGCUUUGAUUUGGCAUUGAAUCUUUGUUAAUUUGGACUGCGGGUGGUUCUGAUACGGAGGAGAAGCUGCAAGAGCUUAUGAUCUUGUCGACUUAAGUACUGUCGUUCUUCAACUCAUAUAAACUUUCCACCUUAAAAUUUAGUUAAAUAUAGACCAAAACAAUCCUGGCAUUUCUGUUAAAGUCAGAGCUUUAAAAUUUAGAUGAAAAAUUUAGUAUUGAGAUGAUUAUGUUAUAGAAAUAGAGCUUAUUUACAAGCUUUGGUAAUAAAAGGGAUUUAAUACGUAUUCAAGUAAAAAUUUAAGGUUAUGACUAGUUCAAAAAUAUCAUAAGAUAUUUCUUUCAACAUAACUGGAUCUUACUUUCAAAUAUAUAGACCUUAUUUUAUAUGAACUGAUAAAAGAAAUUUGAUUUAAAGAAAUAAGAAGGUUUUUGGCUAUGGUUAUCUAAUUUAAAGAAAUAAGAAGGUUUUUGACUAUGAUUAUCUAUUGUUGGGAGUUUUGAAAAUUAGAAGAAAGGUAGCUGGCAUCAGCAAGUUUUGAACAGAGGAUCUGGUGUAUAACCAAACUCUGCUUCUGACACGCUUUAACCUUGAUAUCCCAAAUACUAUGAUGGGCACGUGCUGGCCGACACCCAAGAAUGACGAAGCCAUUUAAAUAUGCAUACAAAUAAAAUACGUAAUAAAAAAAAGGAAUAUACCAAUACGGAAACAUGUUCAGAUCAUACAACUAAUCAAUAAUACUGCAAUAAAAUUAUUAUAAAAGGGUACGAACAAGGGAGAGAGGUCUUACACUGAGAAGACUCGAAGAUACCAAUGUGGGAGUGCCCUAGCGUCGGGAUUAUAUGCUUCAAUUCUAAAUCCUGAAGGGAGCGCAAAACGAAAAGGUGAGUGGACCAAAGUUUAUAAUAAUAAUAAUACUAAGUAAAAUCCAUUUUCUUUUGAACAUACUAACCCUUUGUUUUGAAAACACAUAUAUAAUACUACAUACUGGGUUUUUCUGAAAACCCUAAUGUGCAGUAGAUAAUAAAACCAUAUCUAAAAGUGGUACUGAAAUCUCCCAAAGGCAAAUCCGAGAAAGCUCGUAAACUCAAAAUAAUAAAGUACUCAACUAGGGGUAUCAUAGUCACCUGAACAUAACCAUUGUCACGCCCCAAAAACGGGCAUGUAAUAGUGCCACGCUCUAUUAGUAACACAAUACUAUAGUUUUAAAUUCCAACACUCUAGCAAUACAUUCCCAAUAGGACGUAAGGCUAUUUAAGGGGAAGUAAAAUAAUUUAUUUUUGAACAAUACGGAAGCGGAAAUCAUUUUGGCAAAAUGAAGAAUACAAGGCAACGGAAUUUGGAUAAGAUUUUUACAUCAAAGAUGAAGUUUAAAACUUACAACAAAACCAAAGAGUUUAAAAUAAGUAAAUAUACUAACCAACUCUUAGGCACAAUUUGGAGAGUACAAAGUGCUAAGUUUAGUUACAAAAAAUUCCUUCAAGACGAAGGGAAUCAAGCAUAUGUACAAACAAAAACCUGUGGAAAGUCAAUGAGCGAUUAAGAAGUUGACAAGUAACAAACAACGCUUGUCCCGACCUUAGUCCAGAUCGUCUAUUUGUAGGUGCACCGGUCCUGUAAUAAAGUAGGGGUGAGCAUCACAAACGUUCAUCGCUCCCCCUCAAGGAAUCCACCCUAGCUAGGUUUGAAAAUAGUAUACAACACUAUAUAUACUAUAGAAAAAUGUUUGAUGCACAACAAAAGCUUUGUUUAGUUUUGAAAAUAGAUUGUAUGCUCACACAAUUUCCUUUUAAAAAGAAAACAGGGAUCCCUAUAAAUCACUACAUGCCUGAUGACCGGUCCAAUGACUAACUACCCCCUUACUUGGACAAACUCUUAACGAAUAUACUUAUGGUAAGGUGUAGCAAGAGUGUCCUUUAAUGCUCUACCCUUAGAUAUCCAAGUACCUCUCCUAGAAAGGUAGCGGUACUAAUCCCUUCGUAGUAGCCCCUCCGGAGGUUUAGGGGAUCGAAACCCAAGGCGGUCGCUAUGCCCCUUUCACUCUCAAGUCAUCAAUUAAUUUGUAGCAUAAAACAACAUGCAUAUCAUGAUAUAAAACAAACCAUUUUUCCUCAUGGUUCUAUCACAACAAAAUAUAUGCAACUUUCACAGGCAUUCGUAUAUUUACAUAUACGUACAUUCACAAAAUUCCAUAACUAGGGUAAGUGAGGAUCCCCCUACCUGGUCUCCAAGCCAAGCAAGCAAUAUUCCUCACCAAUACCUCGAUCCCAAAGCUAAAACGAAGAUCCGCGUCACUACCGCAAUAACUAGACUCCACGUACUUGAAUAAAUUCCUUGAUCACGUCCAAAUACUAAGUAUUUCUACCACACAUAUCUUUUCUAAUCUCUCUCACUAUAUAUAAAUAUAUAAUGUAUAAGAACUAAACCUAAGUAUAUAGCAUAAGUUCAGAACUGCAUGCACUUGCAUGUCAAACUCUCAUAAUAUCUCUCGGCAAAGGCUUAACAUGCAUCUAUCUCCAUCUCUCUGUCCUACAAGAGCUCACAUGCUGCAUGCUUC
rnacentral:lncRNA from 1 species